rnacentral:rRNA from 1 species
GACGAACGCUGGCGGCGUGCUUAACACAUGCAAGUCGAACGGAAAGGCCCUGCUUUUGUGGGGUGCUCGAGUGGCGAACGGGUGAGUAACACGUGAGUAACCUGCCCUUGACUUUGUGAUAACUUCAGGCAACUGCGGCUAAUACCUGAUAGGUGCUCCUGCUGCAUGGUGGGGGUUGGAACGUUUCGGCGGUUGGGGAUGGACUCGCGGCUUAUCAGCUUGUUGGUGGGGUAGUGGCUUACCAAGGCUUUGACGGGUAGCCGGCCUGAGAGGGUGACCGGCCACAUUGGGACUGAGAGACGGACCAGACUCCUACGGGAGGCAGCAGUGGGGAAUAUUGCACAAUGGGCGGAAGCCUGAUGCAGCAACGCCGCGUGCGGGAUGACGGCCUUCGGGUUGUAAACCGCUGUAGCCUGUGACGAAGCGUGAGUGAUGGUAAUGGGUAAAGAAGCACCGGCUAACUACGUG